CCUUCUUGUCUCUUUCUUGGAUAUCGGAGACUUUCGUCUUCCUUUUUUCUUCUCUACCUCUUCAUGUCGAAACCCUUUCGCGAUCCUUACUCGGAGUUGAAAUCUUUAUCGGAUGUUGGAUGGAGCUGGGAUGUGGAAGUCUUCUUCAUGUUGUUGUGUACAUAGAGACGGAAUGAUAGACACUCCAUUUUUAGUCAGCUUUCGCAUAGUGGCUAUUUAGCGAGAAAAAUAUCUUUGAUGAAAUGCUUGGAUAGAAUUGAAGUAUGAUGUGAGGCAGUUCAUCCAGAUUGAGAAAGAAUAAACCAAACAGGACCGGCUGUUUGAUUCAGCUUUGCCUGGUUCUAAUCAAAGAUCAGAAAGGGUACGAUACAGUUUUUGAGUCAACCAUAAACUGAACCUCACCAGACCGGAGUUUUUGUGGCAUCAAUCCUCCAUGUAGAAAAGCUAGCUAUGUUAUGACUUGAUAUAAUAGUAUGAUUAGUUUAUAAUACAGUGGAUGAGACUUGAACCACAGCCAUUUUGUCCUUCCAACAAGCAGAGGGCUUAACAUUCUGGUUUGUCUACUGUG